ensembl:lncRNA
UUUUAAUUUAAUUUUAAUGAAAUUUAAUUUUUAAUUAAAAAAAUGAUCAGCAUGGUCAAAAUAUUUGUUACAUUACAUUUUCACAAUAUUCUAAUAUUUUUAAUACUUCUUUUUUAAUACUUCUGUUUUAUUUUAUUUAAUGGGCUUGGAGUUAAAUGAAACGGAAUACUCAAAAUAUUUGUUCAAUAAUAUUUUAAUAUUUUAUUAGGUCUACUAUUAGAAUAGUACUACAUUUAUUAACAAGCAAAAUAUAAUAGCAUAUAAAUAAAAAUGCCCCUCAAGUUCUACUUCAGUGCUCCCUUCAAUGAAGAAAAAAAGUUUUCCAGAAAAAAACAAAAACAAGUCUGUGGAUUCCUAAAAGAGGAGACCGGCUCGUGCCGACAGGACUGCAGUUAGUUGCACUAUGUGCCGCUAGGGGGGACUGCUGUACCACCGUACUCCGUAUCGCCGCUGUGCUGCGCGAGACGCUGCUGCCGCUCGUGUCCCUCUCGCUCUCUAAUCACGCUCUGCGUCUCUCCCCCUCUCUUUAUCAUUCUGAACCACCCCUCCUACCCCCGUCACUUACCAUGCCCUUCUGAGAGAAGAAUCCACGGCGUGUGCGAUUUAGAGGGUGUGUGUGCGUGUAUGUGUGCGCGUGACAGUUUAUGAGCCCGGCUUCUGUUUGUGUGUGCGUAGAGGCGCUAUGAAGGCCGGCUCUAUUGUGUGCAGCGCAGUGCUCUGUUACCUGCGCGCAAGUGAUUAGAGCGCCGUAAUAAACGGAGAGAGAGAGAGAGAGAGAGAGAGAGAGAGAGAGGAGGGGGUGAACGAGGGAUAGGUUGAGUGGAAGAGUAAUAAAGACCGAGGGAGGAGAUGAAAUUCCAGCUGCCUGUGAAAGGCUGUUUCCUGCAGCGCUGCCACGAGAUUAAUGACGAGAGAGAGAGACGGAGGCAGGAAGAGUGCAUCGCAAACGACUCCGUGAAAGUAUCCGGUCCGUGGCGACGGCGGCCCGUUUAGCGGUGGUUAAAGUUCUCCCAAGUUAUCAUUUUAAUAGCGUUCUCUCACGCGCGCACGGAUCACUGUCGACGCAGAUCGGCAGAUAUUGCGCGCGCAGAGGGCAUUCGCUGCCAGGCCUCGUGCUCUGCGCUCCUUGCACUUGGGACAGUGCUUUGGGCAGUAGCAAAGAUGACAGAACGCUCUCAAGAAUGACUCACAGAUGGAGAAAGCACAAGAAAACGAGGGUUUGGAAAGGGAAAGCCAGCAAACAGCGUGAGCAGUGCAGCGCUGGAGCAUGUGAGGGCAAGAAGUACUUCAACACACACACAUUAAGAGCAUACCAGCGCUGUGUGUGCGUUAAGAGGGUUGGGUUUCUAAAUGACAGAUCAUUAUCAUGCUAAUUAAAGCAUUUUGUAGCUGUGACUUGUGCAGUAUUUGUGUAUGUGUGUGAGUGUCUAAUUAAGGCCAGUUCAUCAGCGCCCAGCUCAUUUACACCGUGCUAGAGUGACACCCUGAUUCAAGCACAUGGACAGUAAUGAAGCUAUUAAUUAUUAUAGCACUUUAACAUAUUUAGCCUUAACUAAGCCAAAACCGAACAGCUGAACCACCUCAACUGAACCACAUGAACCCAACAAAGCUUCAGCAGUUUAACACAGCCUAGCACAGCUGAGCCAAAACUCAGCACAGCUAAACUAAACCAACACAGCUCAAUCAACACGUCUGAACUACACCAAAAUAUUUUUUUGGAUAACAAAGGCUUUCGUGAACAAAAUACACACAGCAUGUCACAAAAAUUCAUUAUAUCCACAUUCAUUGCAUUUUAUGACAUGCUAAAUAAUUUACAAUGUUCUUACAACAUCUGAAGAAGAAAAGUAUGGUAAUACAAACAAUUGAGAUCAAAUUAUUAUAAAUUAAUAUAAACAAUAUAUAAAAUGUUUGUAUAUCUGGUUAAAUUUUACACUUUCCUAAUUAAUAUAAAAACAACAAAAAAU